ACAGUGUAUCUAAACAAGUUGGCUGCUGGAUCAAUCUCUGCCAUGGAUUUUGUACCAUUUCUUUUAGUCUUUUUUCUGGGAAAAAAAAAAAAAAAAAAAAAAAUUGUGUUGGCAAUAUAUUAAUUCUGAACUAGUGUAUGAAAUAGCUGAAAGAAAUGUAUUCAUUUUAUGAAGAAGCCCAUAAUAAAUUGAUAAAAGCUUAUCUUUGCUCUGGGUUCAGGAAAAGAACUGCACGUGGCUGCCCGGUUCACUUUUGAUAAUGGGAAGUAAAGAACCAUCCCAAAAGACAAAUCUCAGGAAGCAGAUGAGAGGACCAAGCACACUCUACAGAUUGAGCCUCAGUGCCUCUGGGAUUUUAACAUGCGCAGCAAAGUUAAUAGAAGGACGUCUGAAAGAGGGAGAGUCACAGGCUGCCUCCAUGACCUGGACUAUCAAAGAACUGGAGAUCCCCAAAGGGACAAUCUCUCUACAGAUUUGGAGGUUGGAGCCUGGAUUUUCUUCAGUCUUGACUUUCACAUACCUCUGUGACUCCAUUAGCUGCCAAAAUUUCAUUCCCACCAGGAGGAUUCAUAUAAACUGCAGGCUGUCCAGGCUGCCAAAUUCUGGGACAAAUUGUUCCCUUCAGAGAACUUUUGGAUAGGACAGAAACAGAGAAG
rnacentral:lncRNA from 1 species